UACGUAGGGGGCAAGCGUUAUCCGGAUUUACUGGGUGUAAAGGGUGCGCAGGCGGAGGCACAAGUCAGCGGUAAAAUCGCGGGGCUCAACCCCGCUCCGCCGUUGAAACUGUGUCCCUUGAGUGCGCGAAGGGUAGGCGGAAUGCGUGGUGUAGCGGUGAAAUGCAUAGAUAUCACGCAGAACUCCGAUUGCGAAGGCAGCAUACCGGCGCUCAACUGACGCUGAGGCACGAAAGCGUGGGUAUCGAACAGG
rnacentral:rRNA from 1 species